GACGAACGCUGGCGGCGUGCUUAACACAUGCAAGUCGAACGGAAAGGCCCUGCUUUUGUGGGGUGCUCGAGUGGCGAACGGGUGAGUAACACGUGAGUAACCUGCCCUUGACUUUGGGAUAACUUCAGGAAACUGGGGCUAAUACCGGAUAGGAGCUCCUGCUGCAUGGCGGGGGUUGGAAAGUUUCGGCGGUUGGGGAUGGACUUGCGGCUUAUCAGCUUGUUGGUGGGGUAGUGGCUUACCAAGGCUUUGACGGGUAGCCGGCCUGAGAGGGUGACCGGCCACAUUGGGACUGAGAUACGGCCCAGACUGCUACGGGAGGCAGCAGUGGGGAAUAUUGCGCAAUAGGCGGAAGCCGGAUGCAGCAUCGCCGCGUGCGAGAUGACGGCCGUCAGGGUAUAAACCGCUUUCGCCUGUAACGAAGCGUGAGUGACGGUAAUGGAUAAAGAAGCAACGGCUAACUACGUG
rnacentral:rRNA from 1 species